rnacentral:rRNA from 1 species
AGAGUUUGAUCAUGGCUCAGAGCGAACGCUGGCGGCAGGCCUAAAACAUGCAAGUCGAACGGAUCCUUCGGGAUUAGUGGCGGACGGGUGAGUAACACGUGGGAACGUGCCUUUUGGUUCGGAACAACUCAGGGAAACUUGAGCUAAUACCGGAUGUGCCCUUCGGGGGAAAGAUUUAUCGCCAUUAGAGCGGCCCGCGUCUGAUUAGCUAGUUGGUGAGGUAAAGGCUCACCAAGGCGACGAUCAGUAGCUGGUCUGAGAGGAUGAUCAGCCACACUGGGACUGAGACACGGCCCAGACUCCUACGGGAGGCAGCAGUUAGGAAUCUUGCGCAAUGGGGGAAACCCUGACGCAGCCAUGCCGCGUGAAUGAUGAAGGUCUUAGGAUUGUAAAAUUCUUUCAGCGGGGACGAUAAUGACGGUACCCGCAGAAGAAGCCCCGGCUAACUUCGUGCCAGCAGCCGCGGUAAUACGAAGGGGGCUAGCGUUGCUCGGAAUUACUGGGCGUAAAGGGCGCGUAGGCGGAUGUUUAAGUCAGCGGUGAAAGCCCAGGGCUCAACCUUGGAACUGCCAUUGAUACUGGACAUCUUGAGUACGGGAGAGGUGAGUGGAACACCGAGUGUAGAGGUGAAAUUCGUAGAUAUUCGGUAGAACACCAGUGGCGAAGGCGACUCACUGGCCCGUUACUGACGCUGAGGCGCGAAAGCGUGGGGAGCAAACAGGAUUAGAUACCCUAGUAGUCC